rnacentral:pre_miRNA from 1 species
CCUCUGUAGGCUGGGGAGCCCAAAGGCUGGGCUAGGCGAGUAUUUCUUUGAAAGAUUUACCCUGAAACACAACUAGGGGC